rnacentral:misc_RNA from 1 species
AACGCGCAUUGCGCCCUCUGGUAUUCCAGAGGGCAUGCCUGUUCGGGCGUCAUUUCAACCCUCAAGCCCUGCUUGGUGUUGGGGCAUUACCCGGUCACAUGGGUAAGCCCUGAAAUUUAGUGGCGAGCUCGCCAGGACUCCGAGCGCAGUAAUUAAACCCUCGCUUUGGAUCGUACUGGCGCGGCCCUGCCGUAAAACCCCCAACUCCUGAAAAUUUGACCUCGGAUCAGGUAGGAAUACCCGCUGAACUUAA